rnacentral:rRNA from 1 species
CAUUACACAAAUAUGAAGGCGGGCUGGAACCUCUCGGGGUUACAGCCUUGCUGAAUUAUUCACCCUUGUCUUUUGCGUACUUCUUGUUUCCUUGGUGGGUUCGCCCACCACUAGGACAAACAUAAACCUUUUGUAAUUGCAAUCAGCGUCAGUAACAAAUUAAUAAUUACAACUUUCAACAACGGAUCUCUUGGUUCUGGCAUCGAUGAAGAACGCAGCGAAAUGCGAUAAGUAGUGUGAAUUGCAGAAUUCAGUGAAUCAUCGAAUCUUUGAACGCACAUUGCGCCCUUUGGUAUUCCAAAGGGCAUGCCUGUUCGAGCGUCAUUUGUACCCUCAAGCUUUGCUUGGUGUUGGGCGUCUUGUCUCUAGCUUUGCUGGAGACUCGCCUUAAAGUAAUUGGCAGCCGGCCUACUGGUUUCGGAGCGCAGCACAAGUCGCACUCUCUAUCAGCAAAGGUCUAGCAUCCAUUAAGCCUUUUUUUCAACUUUUGACCUCGGAUCAGGUAGGGAUACCCGCUGAACUUAAGCAUAUCAAUAAGCGGAGGA